rnacentral:rRNA from 1 species
GACGAACGCUGGCGGCGUGCCUAAUACAUGCAAGUAGGACGCAGUUGCGAACGGGAUAGUAACGCAUAGGUAACUACCUAUUAGUGGGGGAUAACAAUUGGAAACAAUAGCUAAUACCGCAUACUAGUAGAUGGACCUGCGUUGUAUUAGCUAGUAGGUGAGGUAAAGUCUUACCUAGGCAACGAUACAUAGUCGGCCUGAGAGGGUGACCGGACACACUGGGACUGAGACACGGCCCAGACUCCUACGGGAGGCAGCAGUAGGGAAUCUUCGGCAAUGGGGGGAACCCUGACCGAGCAACGCCGCGUGAGUGAAGAAGGUUUUCGGAUCGUAAAGUUCUGUUGUUAAGGAAGCGGUACUUAACCAGAAAGGGACGGUUAACUACGUGCCAGCGCCGCGGUAAUUC